ensembl:lncRNA
GAUGGCUGCUGGUCAGCAAAGGCUGAAUUUGAAAAAUACUAAUUUGUCAGGCUGAUUUUGGCCCUCGAAACUAAAACAAGUGACCAGAGCAGAAAUUACAACAGCAGAGGGAGGCAGAAAAUCAGUCUGCUCUCCAAGAUCUGGUGCUCCUGCUGAAGAGCUGAAAAAUUACACAGAAACUAAAAAGCGAGCACUAGAAAAAUAGCUUGAAGACUGCAAUCAUAGGACCUUACUGUUCCAGACUCUGGUCAUAUACAGGCACUGGGACUUCCUUUUAGCUGUAAGGAUAACAGCUUUAAGCCUCAACAGAGGGAAAAGGGGUGCCUGGAUUCAGGCCUUUUUGCUUGGGGCUCUGGUAAUCCAGAGACAAAAGUCGAUAGUGAAUUCCAGAGCAGCAGCUGUGAUGUUUCCAUCUGGGGACCAGAAAACAUCUGAAUGAAUGAGAGAAAUGAUCUAACAAUCAAUAACUUUUUUCAAGGCAUCACAAGAAGCCUUUGAACAAUAUCACAAGGAGGGGAAAAAAAAAAAAAAAGGAGAAAAGCUGUUCUAAUGGAGAGGAAAAUGAACCCACAAACAAGACCAAAUUGACAUACAGUAUAGCACUAUGUUCACAAGAGUAAAAAGAAGAGUCUGAGAACUGAGAGUUUCGGUCCAGAAAAGAACAUAAUUUAAACUGUUCUUAGCCAGCUUGCCAGUGGAGAAAUUCCACCUAUUGUGGAGAGGAAGACUGGUUACUUCAAUUAAUAGAAAUUAUUAGAUCUUUCAAAGUUGCCUCACAGUUCACUAGACCAAAAAUUCAUCCUAUCAUGCAGACUGCACCUUGAUCGAGGAGAAAGAAGUGUAAAAAAUAGGAACAAGGACUUCAAGAAGUGAGAAAGUCAGCUCGCAGCAGGUGGGUGCUGGCAGAAGGGGCAGGCUGAUGUGCCAAGCCCUGGGCAAACAUAGGUCCAAGGGGCGAUGGCAUGCAGGGAGCUCGAGUUCUGCACAGGAUAAUGGGACUUACAGCCCAAAGACCAGAACUGUUCUGCCUACUAAGCACACUGGAAAACACUUCCUUGAAACACAGUUGAAAAUAAUAGUCCUCAUAUUUUAUGUCAAUUGGUAAUUUCAAAGAUAAGCCACAGCUCUGUGUGUAUUUUUAUGAGGGUAGGAAGCAGAGAAUGAAACAUUUCAGAGCACCAGAAGAUGAGAAUUACUGCAGGAAGCAGGAGUUGUGCUGUAGAAUUUAAGCAUUGCUACAGUGAAAUUUGGUCCCUAUCCUGCAAAGUAUGUACCGCUAAUUAUUUCAUGACAUUUCUCAUACAAACACAACCCCAGAAUCAGAUUUAAUAAUUUAAAAAGGCAGGGAUGUAUGAAACAUCAUUAAGUCAACAAAGCUUAAAUAGAUGUCUUUGUGAACCACCUAAGCUUGAAACCUCACAA